CUCACAACCGUCAUGACUCUUUGCACCAGACCCAAAAUUUCCUCAAAGCCUGAGUUGCUACCAUCACAAAACAACGCUGCCAGUCGACGAUUAUUUGCAGCUCCAACAUCGCGUGUCUUGUCAAGAGUCACGACAUCGCCCACUUCAAAUAUCUUUAUUGGCUUUGGAUGAUCAAUAUUGUACUUCAAAGUUUUCAGUAAGCAUGACAUUAGAUUUGUACGCACAACCUGAAACUCAGUGG
rnacentral:misc_RNA from 1 species